UACGGAGGGUGCGAGCGUUGCUCGGAAUUACUGGGCGUAAAGCGUACGCAGGCUGUUUUGUACGUCGGGUGUGAAAGCCCGGGGCUCAACCUCGGAAUUGCCUUCAAGACUGGCGACCUAGAGUAGGGGAGAGGUGUGUGGAACUCCGAGUGUAGAGGUGAAAUUCGUAGAUAUUCGGAAGAACACCAGUGGCGAAGGCGGCGACCUGGACAGAUAUUGACGCUGAGGUGCGAAAGCGUGGGGAGCAAACAGG
rnacentral:rRNA from 1 species